rnacentral:rRNA from 1 species
GACGAACGCUGGCGGCGUGCUUAACACAUGCAAGUCGAACGGAAAGGCCCUGCUUUUGUGGGGUUCUCGAGUGGCGAACGGGUGAGUAACACGUGAGUAACCUGCCCUUGACUUUGGGAUAACUUCAGGAAACUGGGGCUAAUACCGGAUAGGAGCUCCUGCUGCAUGGUGGGGGUUGGAAAGUUUCGUCGGUUGGGGAUGGACUCGCGGCUUAUCAGCUUGUUGGUGGGGUAGUGGCUUACCAAGGCUUUGGCGGGUAGCCGGCCUGAGAGGGUGACCGGCCACAUUGGGACUGAGAUACGGCCCAGACUCCUACGGGAGGCAGCAGGGGGGAAUAUUGCACAAUGGGCGGAAGCCGGAUGCAGCAACGCCGCGUGCGGGAUGACGGCCUUCGGGUUGUAAACCGCUUUCGCCUGUGACGAAGCGUGAGUGACGGUAAUGGGUAAAGAAGCACCGGCUAACUACGUG